AUUGAACGCUGGCGGCAGGCCUAACACAUGCAAGUCGAGCGGCAGCGGGAAAGUAGCUUGCUACUUUUGCCGGCGAGCGGCGGACGGGUGAGUAAUGCCUGGGAAAUUGCCCAGUAGUAGGGGAUAACGCAGCGAAAGCUGUGCUAAUACCGCAUACGCACUGAGGUGGAAAGCAGGGGACCUUCGGGCCUUGUGCUAUUGGAGCGGCCGAUGUCAGAUUAGCUAGUUGGUGGGGUAAAAGCUCACCAAGGCGACGAUCUGUAGCUGGUCUGAGAGGAUGAUCAGCCACACUGGGACUGAGACACGGCCCAGACUCCUACGGGAGGCAGCAGUGGGGAAUUUUGGACAAUGGGGGCAACCCUGAUCCAGCCAUGCCGCGUGAGUGAAGAAGGCCUUCGGGUUGUAAAGCUCUUUCGGCCGGGAAGAAAUCGCCAUCUCUAACAUAGGUGGUGGAUGACGGUACCGGAAUAAGAAGCACCGGCUAACUACGUGCCAGCCGCCGCUGUAACAC
rnacentral:rRNA from 1 species